rnacentral:ncRNA from 1 species
CGUCAUUCCCCGGGGAGCCAUCAGGCUGAGAGGGGCGGUGCAAAUCCGCCCGACCCGUAGAACCUGAUCCGGCCCCUUGAUGGGCUUACCGGCGUAGGGAGGGAACGGCCUUUUUCU